CCAGGUCAGGAGAGAGGCCCCAGUGUGCCAGGAGGGACCUGCAGGGGUCGGGACCUCUACUCCUGGAGCUGCAUGUGGAAAAGCGGAGGGCAGAAGAUCUUCAGUCCACUAGGAUAUGAGUCAAAGAAGCGGGGAAUGGGAGAAGGGAUACAGAACUACCAAGGUGGGCUGUGAGAGUGAAGACACUGGGAGGGCUGUUCUGGACCCCAGAGUUCCAGAGUUCAUCUCAGCCAUCCCUCUGCCUCUGGAGAACCCAAAACAGGUCAAGGAACCAAAUCAGGUCAAGGUGAAGUUUCAGGAAAACACUUACCCUAGGGUAAGCAAAGUCUUUAAAGGCCUUCGAGGUGCUUUCACACACACCCUCUGGGAUGCCUGCUAUUCUCUUACUUAGGUUUCUCCAGUGGCUCAGAGCUGCUGGCAGUAGGGAAAUGGACUAAACAGUGACUGAUCGCCUUGGUGAGCCCUGAGAUCCAAUCUUUUUCUACUUGGUUUCCCCUAAUAUGAAGAGAAGCUGCUGAGAUUCCAGUACAGAUCCGAAGAUGGACUUUGUGCCCAAUGGAGGACUUUGGCCCAGCAAAACAGGUCAUGUGUAAUUAGACGUGGUUCCCCAGAGGUUGCCUUGCCACCCCCACCCCCUCCCCUGUCCCCACUCCCUGGCCUUGGCUCUCUGAGUCCUAGGAUCUCUGAGCAAAGAAUUUCCUUCAUCAGAGAGUAAUUGCCCCUGGCUCCCCUCACUUCUAAUCAACAAGACAAGGUAUUAGUUCCUGGGAGCAUGAUUGAUUUCCAGGGACUUGGAACUUAAUUACAUUUUUGCAAAGUCUGUUUGGAAUCCUCAGAGAAGCGAGACACUUCUUUGAACUUACCAUGUAGGAGGGCUUCCAGCAUCUCAAAUAUUCCAUUCAUCCUUCCUCUGGCCAAGGGAGGGGCAUUCUAUGGCUGUCAGUUUUCAUCUUUCCUUACCCUUUCCGUUCCCCCAACCCCUGGAGUUUGACCGGAGGAACUCGGUUUCUCAAGCAGAAGAAUUCCUCACAUGGUCCUCCCCACACCAGCAGUCACGCCAUGAAGCCCAGAGGACCACGAGUCCUGUCUGGAAUGCAUGUCGCUGUGCCCUUCCCAGCUCCUGCAGGCCCAACCCGCUGGCCUCACCUGCCACAUCAAGCUGAGCCAGGCUUCUGGUUCCAAUCUCAACCUCUGUAUUAUUCUAAUCACCAUCAUCAAACUUAAUAAUAACUACUGUUUAUUAAGCACUAACUCAAUAACUGGCACUAAUGUGCCAGGUUCUGUAAGGUACUUUACACACAUCAGCUCAUUCCAUCUUCACAAGAGAUCUGCUAUAGUAGAUAUGACUACUUACCAAGACAUUACUACAUUCCCAUUUACCCAGGAAGAACUGGAAGCUCAGAGAGGGUCAGCAGUUUUCCAAAGAUAGAACUAGAGGUGGCUAAACUGGGCUUUAAGAACUCCAUGCCUCUGGACAAUUACACCAUGGCCA